AUGAUAUACAACAGCUAUAAAGAAAAAUGGCACAUCUACUGGAGGGAAAAUAUAUAUUCUAAUAGAAGAAUAUACCUGGAAGUGAUUGGGAACCCUCCUAAUGCUGCAAAGCCAUUCAACUGGAUUUGGAAAUCCUCAUCCCUCCCAAAGCAAAAGUUUUUCUUCUGGUUAUUAUUGCAGGACAGACUAAACACAUGGAAUCUUCUGACUAGGAAAAAUUUCCAUAUUGAACGAACUUAUUGUGUUCUUUGUGAUGAAGAGCCUAUGGAAGAGUACAUCCACCUGUUCUUCUCCUGUGAUUUCAGUCAGAAUUUCUGGAUGCCAUUAAGAAUAGAAUGGAAUGUUGACAUGAAUAUCAAUGAUAUGCUACUAGAUGGCAAGAAAAGAAAUGGAACAAUAUUCUACAAAGAAAUUAUAAUGGCAGGUUGUUGGACCCUUUGGAAGCACGGGAAUGGUAUAUUAUUUGACCAUAAGCAAAAGGAUAUUCUAUACUGCAUCAAUUGCUUCAAAGAACACUUUGAGAUAGUCAUACAAAAGAGCAAGCCAAGCCUCAAGGAGGGCAUGCAGGAUUGGCUAGAUACAUUGUAG
rnacentral:rRNA from 1 species